rnacentral:rRNA from 1 species
GGGUUGUGAGGUUAAGCGAAUAAGCGUACACGGUGGAUGCCUAGGCAAUCAGAGGCGAUGAAGGACGUGCUAAUCUGCGAAAAGCGUCGGUAAGGUGAUAUGAACCGUUAUACCCGACGAUAUCCGAAUGGGGAAACCCAGUAUCCAAUGGAUACUAUCAUUAACUGAAUCCAUAGGUUAAUGAGGCGAACCGGGAGAACUGAAACAUCUCAGUACCCCGAGGAAAAGAAAUCAACCGAGAUUCCCCUAGUAGCGGCGAGCGAACGGGGAGCAGCCCAGAGUCUUAAUCAAUAGCAGUGUCAGGAGAACGGUCUGGAAAGUCCGGCAGUAAAGGGUGAUAGCCCCGUAUCUGAAGAUGCUGUUAUUGUGAACUCGACGAGUAGGGCGGGACACGUGUUAUCCUGUCUGAAUAUGGGGGGACCAUCCUCCAAGGCUAAAUACUCCUGAUUGACCGAUAGUGAACCAGUACCGUGAGGGAAAGGCGAAAAGAACCCCGGCGAGGGGAGUGAAAAAGAACCUGAAACCGUGUACGUACAAGCAGUAGGAGCCUCUUUAUGGGGUGACUGCGUACCUUUUGUAUAAUGGGUCAGCGACUUAUAUUCUGUAGCAAGGUUAACCGUAUAGGGGAGCCGUAGGGAAACCGAGUCUUAACUGGGCGAAUGAGUUGCAGGGUAUAGACCCGAAACCCGGUGAUCUAUCCAUGGGCAGGUUGAAGGUUGGGUAACACUAACUGGAGGACCGAACCGACUAAUGUUGAAAAAUUAGCGGAUGACUUGUGGAUGGGGGUGAAAGGCCAAUCAAACCGGGAGAUAGCUGGUUCUCCCCGAAAGCUAUUUAGGUAGCGCCUCGUGAACUCAUCUUCGGGGGUAGAGCACUGUUUCGACUAGGGGGUCAUCCCGACUUACCAACUCGAUGCAAACUGCGAAUACCGAAGAAUGUUAUCACGGGAGACACACGGCGGGUGCUAACGUCCGUCGUGAAGAGGGAAACAACCCAGACCGCCAGCUAAGGUCCCAAAGUCAUGGUUAAGUGGGAAACGAAGUGGGAAGGCUCAGACAGCCAGGAUGUUGGCUUAGAAGCAGCCAUCAUUUAAAGAAAGCGUAAUAGCUCACUGGUCGAGUCGGCCCGCGCGGAAGAUGUAACGGGGCUAAACCAUGCACCGAAGCUGCGGCAGCGACACAAAGUGUUGUUGGGUAGGGGAGCGUUCUGUAAGCCUGCGAAGGUGUACUGUGAGGUAUGCUGGAGGUAUCAGAAGUGCGAAUGCUGACAUAAGUAACGAUAAUGCGGGUGAAAAACCCGCACGCCGGAAGACCAAGGGUUCCUGUCCAACGUUAAUCGGGGCAGGGUGAGUCGACCCCUAAGGCGAGGCUGAAAAGCGUAGUCGAUGGGAAACGGGUUAAUAUUCCCGUACUGGUGGUAACUGCGAUGGGGGAACGGAGAAGGCUAGGUUGUCCGGGCGACGGUCGUCCCGGUUCAAGCAGGUAGGCAGAGUGAUUAGGCAAAUCCGGUCACUUAAUGCUGAGAUGUGAUGACGAACCACCAAGGUGGUGAAGCAAUUGAUGCCCCGCUUCCAGGAAAAGCCUCUAAGCUUCAGGUUACCAACAAUCGUACCCCAAACCGACACAGGUGGUCAGGUAGAGAAUACUCAGGCGCUUGAGAGAACUCGGGUGAAGGAACUAGGCAAAAUGGUGCCGUAACUUCGGGAGAAGGCACGCUGGCGGUAGGUAAAGUCCCUCGCGGACAGAGCUGAAGCCAGUCGAAGAUACCAGCUGGCUGCAACUGUUUAUUAAAAACACAGCACUGUGCAAACACGAAAGUGGACGUAUACGGUGUGACGCCUGCCCGGUGCUGGAAGGUUAAUUGAUGGGGUCAGCCGUAAGGCGAAGCUCCUGAUCGAAGCCCCAGUAAACGGCGGCCGUAACUAUAACGGUCCUAAGGUAGCGAAAUUCCUUGUCGGGUAAGUUCCGACCUGCACGAAUGGCGUAAUGAUGGCCAGGCUGUCUCCACCCGAGACUCAGUGAAAUUGAACUCGCUGUGAAGAUGCAGUGUACCCGCGGCAAGACGGAAAGACCCCGUGAACCUUUACUAUAGCUUGACACUGAACAUUGAGCCUUGAUGUGUAGGAUAGGUGGGAGGCUUUGAAGUGUGGACGCCAGUCUGCAUGGAGCCAACCUUGAAAUACCACCCUUUAACGUUUGAUGUUCUAACCUAGGCCCAUAAACUGGGUCGGGGACCGUGUCUGGUGGGUAGUUUGACUGGGGCGGUCUCCUCCUAAAGAGUAACGGAGGAGCACGAAGGUUGGCUAAGCAUGGUCGGACAUCAUGCGGUUAGUGCAAAGGCAUAAGCCAGCUUGACUGCGAGAGUGACGGCUCGAGCAGGUACGAAAGUAGGUCUUAGUGAUCCGGUGGUUCUGAAUGGAAGGGCCAUCGCUCAACGGAUAAAAGGUACUCCGGGGAUAACAGGCUGAUACCGCCCAAGAGUUCAUAUCGACGGCGGUGUUUGGCACCUCGAUGUCGGCUCAUCACAUCCUGGGGCUGAAGUAGGUCCCAAGGGUAUGGCUGUUCGCCAUUUAAAGUGGUACGCGAGCUGGGUUUAGAACGUCGUGAGACAGUUCGGUCCCUAUCUGCCGUGGGCGUUGGAAGAUUGAGAGGGGUUGCUCCUAGUACGAGAGGACCGGAGUGAACGCACCACUGGUGUUCGGGUUGUCAUGCCAAUGGCAUUGCCCGGUAGCUAAGUGCGGAAGAGAUAACCGCUGAAAGCAUCUAAGCGGGAAACUUGCCUCGAGAUGAGUCUUCCCUGUCGCUUUAAGCGACCUAAAGGAACGUUUAAGACUAAGACGUUGAUAGGCUGGGUGUGUAAGCGUAGCGAUACGUUGAGCUAACCAGUACUAAUGAACCGUGAGGCUUAACCUGACAACACCGAAAGUGUUUUG